AUACCCUAUUUUUUUUUUAUUAUAAAAUUUAAAACCAAAGUAGUAAUAGUUAUAUCUUUAAACUUAAAGAAUUUGGCGGUAUUGUAGUCUAUUUAGAGGAAUCUGUAAUGUAAUCGAUAAUUCACGUUGAAUCUUACUUAAAUUAUUUCUUGUAUACCGCUGUUAUAAGAGAAUAUUUUUAGAUUAAUUUUCUUAAUAAUUUAUUAAUUAAUAUUUCAAGUCAAGGUGCAGUAAUAUUUAAGUUAAUUAAUGGAUUACAAUAAUUUUUAUUUAUAUGGAUAAAUAUUGGAAUAUUAAUUUGAAGGUGGAUUUAAAAGUAAUUUUUA
rnacentral:rRNA from 1 species